AGUGAACGCUGGCGGUAGGCCUAACACAUGCAAGUCGAACGGCAGCACAGUAAGAGCUUGCUCUUACGGGUGGCGAGUGGCGGACGGGUGAGGAAUACAUCGGAAUCUACUUUUUCGUGGGGGAUAACGUAGGGAAACUUACGCUAAUACCGCAUCCCACCCCCGCGCCCCCCCCCGCCCUCUCCCGCCCCCGCCCCCUCCCAUGCCCCGCUGUCGCCUCCGCCAGUUGGCGGGGUACAGGCCCACCAAGGCGACGACCCGUAGCUGGUCUGAGAGGAUGAUCAGCCACACUGGAACUGAGACACGGUCCAGACUCCGACGGGAGGCAGCAGUGGGGAAUAUUGGACAAUGGGCGCAAGCCUGAGCCAGGCAUACCGCGUGGGUGAAGAAGGCCUUCGGGUUGUAAAGCCCUUUUGUUGGGAAAGAAAGGCAGCAGGUUAAUACCCCGCUGUUCUGACGGUACCCAAAGAAUAAGCACCGGCUAACUUCGUG
rnacentral:rRNA from 1 species